UGGGGAAUUUUGGACAAUGGGGGAAACCCUGAUCCAGCCAUCCCGCGUGUGCGAUGAAGGCCUUCGGGUUGUAAAGCACUUUUGGCAGGAAAGAAACGUCAUGGGUUAAUACCCCGUGAAACUGACGGUACCUGCAGAAUAAGCACCGGCUAACUACGUGCCAGCAGCCGCGGUAAUACGUAGGGUGCAAGCGUUAAUCGGAAUUACUGGGCGUAAAGCGUGCGCAGGCGGUUCGGAAAGAAAGAUGUGAAAUCCCAGAGCUCAACUUUGGAACUGCAUUUUUAACUACCGGGCUAGAGUGUGUCAGAGGGAGGUGGAAUUCCGCGUGUGGCAGUGAAAUGCGUAGAUAUGCGGAGGAACACCGAUGGCGAAGGCAGCCACCUGGGAUAACACUGACGCUCAUGCACGAAAGCGUGGGGAGCAAACAGG
rnacentral:rRNA from 1 species